GUGGGGAAUCUUGCGCAAUGGGCGAAAGCCUGACGCAGCCAUGCCGCGUGAAUGAUGAAGGUCUUAGGAUUGUAAAAUUCUUUCACCGGGGACGAUAAUGACGGUACCCGGAGAAGAAGCUCCGGCUAACUUCGUGCCAGCAGCCGCGGUAAUACGAAGGGGGCUAGCGUUGCUCGGAAUUACUUGGCGUAAAGGGCGCGUAGGCGGACAGCUUAGUCAGAGGUGAAAGCCCAGGGCUCAACCUUGGAAUUGCCUUUGAUACUGGCUGUCUUGAGUUUGGGAGAGGUGAGUGGAACUCCGAGUGUAGAGGUGAAAUUCGUAGAUAUUCGGAAGAACACCAGUGGCGAAGGCGACUCACUGGCCCAAUACUGACGCUGAGGCGCGAAAGCGUGGGGAGCAAACAGGAUUAGAUACCCGAGUAGUCC
rnacentral:rRNA from 1 species